rnacentral:rRNA from 1 species
CCUACGGGUGGCAGCAGUAGGGAAUAUUGCUCAAUGGGGGAAACCCUGAUGCAGCAACGCCGCGUGGCGGAUGAAGGUUUUCGGCUUGUAAACUCCUUUUGUUAGAGAAGAUACUGACGGUUUCUAACGUAUCAGCCCCGGCUAACUCCGUGCCAGCAGCCGCGGUAAUACGGAGGGUGCAAGCGUUACUCGGAAUCCCUGGGCGUAAAGAGCGCGUAGGCGGGAUAGCAAGUCAGAUGUGAAAUCCUAGGGCUUAACCAUAGAACUGCAUUUGAAACUGUUAUUCUAGAGUAUGGGAGAGGUAGGUGGAAUUCUUGGUGUAGGGGUAAAAUCCGUAGAGAUCAAGAGGAAUACUCAUUGCGAAGGCGACCUGCUAGAACAGAACUCACGCUGAGGCGCGAAAGCGUGGGGAGCAAACAGGAUUAGAUACCCGUGUAGUC